UCAUCCCCCAUCACUGUCGCUAGUUUACACGCAGCACGAGCUUUUCAGUAGGGGCAGAACGGCACUGCGGACAGCCCUGGCUAUGGAUGCUCUCGGUGACUGCCACCACCUGACCAUCACUUCCUGGUUUGGGGGACCCUCUUCCACUUCCACUGAAUGCCACUUCAAUGUCAUCAGGCUGGAUCUAGCUAAUAACAGAGUUCAUGAUGAAAAAAGGGCCCUCCAGGCUGGCUUGGAGCCUAUAAGCUGAAGUGCCUGUUUCUGACACACGUCACAAAGUCCUCCAUACUAACAACAGGCCUGUGAAUCUGCUGAUCGUUGCUCCUCUGAUGUCCACUCAGCUAACAUCUCAGUGAACCUUCUCAGAGUCACUGGCUUGAAGGCACCUAUCAGACCAUGACUAGAUCCAGCUUCGCCAUCUGCCAGGCCCUCAAGGUCAAACGCCAGCUCCUCACAAAGCACGUUAGCUCUUCCAGGAUCACCCAACCUCUAUUACCCACUCUGCAAUUUUUCCCACAAGGACCGGGAACAGUGUUCUUGAUUGAGGUCCUGGCCAAGCUGGCUUCUGAGAAGAGACACUCAUGAACCCUGCAGGGGCAUCUGAGGGACAGACACCUGCUAUCUCUGUCCACAUCGACUGCAGCAUGUACGACCCCAGGAGGCCAGGCCGCGGCCACGCUGUCCUUCCCUUCUCUGUACCUUGGCAGCCCACGCGUAAUGCUUCUACAGUACAGAGCCGAAAGGGAUGUCUUUCAGUGACCUGUUUAUGGGGCUUUUCCACCACCCACCCGGCAGGUGGGGCAGGACUGUGUUUCUGUCACCUCUGCAGCCCCAGGCCAGACCCAGGCCUGGACCUGGACUCCUGCUGUAUACAUGGAGGACUACUGGAUGGGAAGGUUGACUCAGGGGGAGCACAACACAUUACAGGGACAUGGCCUGACCUUGGGACACAAGGACCUAGACAAUUCCCAGCUCUGUCCUUCAGCAGCAGCAGGACUCCAGGGUCAGUUCCGGUCCCCAUGGGGAAUGGCUGGAGGAGACAGUCCCUGCUAGUGAGAAAUUCUGCAUUUGGGAAAGGCAGCCUAUAUGAGGGGGCAUGGCCAAUGCUUCAUCAAACCAGAGCCUCUGGCUCUCAGUGGGUAUCCAGGCCCUUCGGGCUGCCUCCAGCUCUCCACCCUGGCAUCGCACCCAGGACUGAUUUCUGUGCCAGCCUUCCCUCAUCACAGGGCCAGGGAAGGAAAGCAGAACAGGAAUCUGCAGACUUGAGUUCUAGUCCUGGCCCCGCUGCUAACCACCCUGGGACUCAUGUCCAAGUUCUGACCCUUUCUAGGUUUGUUUUCUGAGUUGUAAAAGGGGUGGAAUUUCUAACUUGCUGCGUGUGGUGUUAUAAUAAUUAAAUAAUGUAUUGUAAAUAGUGCUCUCAGCACUCAAUCGCUGAAUUAGACAGAAGUCAUCCCAGCUGCAUUCCUGAGGUCGAGCUCUGAACCAAUAAAAGAAGGUACCAGAGGGCCAGCCGAGUGGCGCGAUGGUUAAGAGCUGGCUUGGGAUGUCAG